GAUGAUUGAUGCACAGUGGAACAGAAGAGCACAAACAACAAUCUACCUACCUAAAGCCCAGAAAGCUACCAUAACCCGUAAUCAAUGGAACUAAAUUGGAGAUAUGAAAAGUUCAUGACCAGACAACCCAAGACAUUUUGAGCUCGAGUCCAAAAGAGAGUCACAUAAGCAGAAAUUGAAAUUCAGAAAAGGUUGCACAUAACUCCAGAAGCAAAGAAGCAGACAAAAAAACACUGAACCUGAAUCUAGAGAGCUGCAUAAUAAACACAAUCCAAGAAUCCACCUAAGACCUGAAAUCCAGGAACGGAUCCCAACGAUUUAGCUAGUUCCUCAAAUAAUGGAACACCAAGCAACACAAAGAUCAACUUUUCUCCACCCCCAUUAUGAACUUACU
rnacentral:misc_RNA from 1 species